rnacentral:rRNA from 1 species
CCGUACUACAUGCAGUCGAACGCUUCUUUUUCCACCGGAGCUUGCUCCACCGGAAAAAGAGGAGUGGCGAACGGGUGAGUAACACGUGGGUAACCUGCCCAUCAGAAGGGGAUAACACUUGGAAACAGGUGCUAAUACCGUAUAACAAUCGAAACCGCAUGGUUUUGAUUUGAAAGGCGCUUUCGGGUGUCGCUGAUGGAUGGACCCGCGGUGCAUUAGCUAGUUGGUGAGGUAACGGCUCACCAAGGCCACGAUGCAUAGCCGACCUGAGAGGGUGAUCGGCCACAUUGGGACUGAGACACGGCCCAAACUCCUACGGGAGGCAGCAGUAGGGAAUCUUCGGCAAUGGACGAAAGUCUGACCGAGCAACGCCGCGUGAGUGAAGAAGGUUUUCGGAUCGUAAAACUCUGUUGUUAGAGAAGAACAAGGAUGAGAGUAACUGUUCAUCCCUUGACGGUAUCUAACCAGAAAGCCACGGCUAACUACGUGCCAGCAGCCGCGGUAAUACGUAGGUGGCAAGCGUUGUCCGGAUUUAUUGGGCGUAAAGCGAGCGCAGGCGGUUUCUUAAGUCUGAUGUGAAAGCCCCCGGCUCAACCGGGGAGGGUCAUUGGAGACUGGGAGACUUGAGUGCAGAAGAGGAGAGUGGAAUUCCAUGUGUAGCGGUGAAAUGCGUAGAUAUAUGGAGGAACACCAGUGGCGAAGGCGGCUCUCUGGUCUGUAACUGACGCUGAGGCUCGAAAGCGUGGGGAGCAAACAGGAUUAGAUACCCUGGUAGUCCACGCCGUAAACGAUGAGUGCUAAGUGUUGGAGGGUUUCCGCCCUUCAGUGCUGCAGCUAACGCAUUAAGCACUCCGCCUGGGGAGUACGACCGCAAGGUUGAAACUCAAAGGAAUUGACGGGGGCCCGCACAAGCGGUGGAGCAUGUGGUUUAAUUCGAAGCAACGCGAAGAACCUUACCAGGUCUUGACAUCCUUUGACCACUCUAGAGAUAGAGCUUCCCCUUCGGGGGCAAAGUGACAGGUGGUGCAUGGUUGUCGUCAGCUCGUGUCGUGAGAUGUUGGGUUAAGUCCCGCAACGAGCGCAACCCUUAUUGUUAGUUGCCAUCAUUCAGUUGGGCACUCUAGCAAGACUGCCGGUGACAAACCGGAGGAAGGUGGGGAUGACGUCAAAUCAUC